rnacentral:rRNA from 1 species
AUUGAACGCUGGCGGCAGGCUUAACACAUGCAAGUCGAACGAGUGGCGGACGGGUGAGUAAUGUCUGGGAAACUGCCUGAUGGAGGGGGAUAACUACUGGAAACGGUAGCUAAUACCGCAUACCAUCAGAUGUGCCCAGAUGGGAUUAGCUUGUGGGGGGGGUAAUGGCUCACCAAGGCGACGAUCCCUCGCUGGUCUGAGAGGAUGACGAGCCACACGGGAACUGAGACACGGGCCAGACUCCUACGGGAGGCAGCAGUGGGGAAUAUUGGACAUGGGGGGCAAGCCUGAUGCAGCCAGGCGGCGUGUGUGAAGAAGGCGUUCGGGUUGUAAAGUACUUUCAGCGAGAAGGCGUUACCCGCAGAAGAAGCACCGGCUAACUCCGUGCCAGCAGCCGCGGUAAUAC